UAAAAUGGACCUAUGAAAGAUAAAGGAUGAUGGAUGGUGGGAAAACCUGAAAACAGUUCCUGGCUUCCUGGUGAGAACUUAUAAAGGUGAUGUGGGCAGGAACAAAAACAGAUUCAGAUUAGGAUGAGUGGUGGGAGGGUUGGAAGAUCAUACUUAUCCUCAACAUCAUCACAAUCCCUUUAUCUGG